rfam:TPA: Bos taurus chromosome 22, whole genome shotgun sequence.
UCCCUGGUGGUUCAGGGGCUAAGACUCCACACUCCCAGUGCAGAGGGCCCAGGUUCGAUUCCUGGUCAGGGAA